UUGCCAUCAAACUUCUCAAAAUCGACCUUCAUAUUGCUGCCCAUGACUGGAUCCAAGCCAAACAAGCAAUAUAAAAUCAAGAAGUGUAGAAUAUACCUUGAUGGUACCUUACUGAAAAUUUUCAGCACUUGGGAUCUUCAACUUCUCACGCUUGGAACCACUUCCUCACCACCGUGGCUCUGAUACCAACUAUUGGAGCAUGAUCCUGGCUCCUCCCACAGACCUUGGGUGCAGCAAAACCAGCAACGAACAAAUCUGCAGACUUCUGGAC
rnacentral:lncRNA from 1 species